CCAGGAGGGGCGCCCCACGAGGGCAACCCGUAGUCCCAAGUGAAGCGGUACCUCCACCGACAGUUGCCACCCCUAGGGCGCGGGCGGUCCCGGGGUCGCCAAACAGGGACACUCGGACUUUUGGGGCUUGGCGCUCACCGCGGGGUGAACUAAGUGUAGAACUGUGCCCGCGGUGGGGACUGUAAUCCGGAAAUCCACGGGCGUCGGAAUUACCAGGCUAUUCUCAGGGGAGGUGACCUGAAUUAUCUCGGGAUCCCCUCGCCCCGACCUGUUUCUCCCCGCAGAGAUCCCGGGUCCGAGCGGAGAGAAGGCGAGAGAAGCCGCGGUGCCUCCGCAUUGGGACUGGGGACCUGCUGGGAAGCGAAGGCGCUUGCUGCAGAGAAGCUGUGGGAAGGGCGGGGAGGUGCAUGAAGUGGGCGUGCAGGGAGAAGUGGGUGCGGGGUGCGUGGGACCCCGCUGCGCCCGCUUCGUUGAGGAGCUGGAAGACUACGCGCGCGUGACGCUGGGGAGCCCCUGGCACAGAGUGGGGUGUGCUGGGGGCACCGGCGGUGUGCGGGGCUGGCUGCCUUUCUGUGCCCCCCCCCCUCCGCCUUGCCGCAGCCGUCCAGGGUUGGGAUGUGCGGCUGCAUUUUCCACCCCUUCCUCUCCCGGGAACUUUCACACACUUUAACACACUGCGGCUCUGUACAUUGGAGAAAGCAGGCUCCUGGGGAUCCUGGCAAGCUUGCAGAUACCCAGGUGGGCGAUGGGAGGAGGCAGCUGGGCAGUGGGAACCAGCGCCCAACUCAGUUUGCUGUGUAACCUUGGACAAGCCGCUGCACCUCUCUGAAUCUCAGGGUGAUGGAGGCACGUGGUGCCCAAAACUGGAAUGGGGACAAGGUGGGGGAGGGUUCGCGGGGAACAAGCUCACGGGCAAGCCUGCCCCAGCCUGCCUGGGAAUUGCCGCCUUUGGUCACUGGCCUCUCUUAAGUGAGUUCAGCGCUCACUUCCGGGGCAGGGGGUGGCUAGGUGGAGCUGUGAAUCCAGUGCCCCAGGGAGAGUCAAAGCUUCCUUUCUGACCUGUCCCAUGACCUUGGGCAACUCACUGACCUGCUCUGGGCCUCAGUAUCUUCACGGGGUUUGGAAUUCAAGGUAUCUGAGGUUUCUCCCAGUCCCAACACCCUGCAGGUGCCACCCAUUGAAAGGAUGGAGGUGGGGUGCAGCUGGGUAGAAUGACCUAGCCUCUGGGAAGAUGGUAGCUCCCCUACGCACCCUAAGUGGUUCACUGGUCAUCUCUCCCCACUGUCAGAAUCCAGCUGAUGGGGAAAAAGGCUUGCUUUUCAGCAUUACACACCCUCUUUGCAGAGGGCAGAUUCUUUCCUGGGGAACGGUUCUUGGUGACAGAUAGAUGACCAUUGGUUAAAGGGUGAUGUCACAGACCUCACAAGGUCAUGCAGUCUGCUCUCUACCUCCAGACAGGGCUGUAUCCACCUCAGAUAAGGAAGAUCUGAAGGAGUCCUCUCGUUUUAGGAAGAUCUCCACUACAAUGGCCUAGAGCACCCCAUUGUGUGAUGGGAUAGUCCUUGCCACAGCAAAGUCUACUCUAACUCCUUUUUGGGAUGAACUCUGCUUCUGUCUUCAGUUAAGAUGAAACAAUAGCUUCUUACUGACUGGGCAUUAGGGUGUUGUGAAUGAGUCCUGGUUUGAGACAUGAGAGCUGAGUUUAAUUUACAGGCUCUGCUUCCAAUUUGUGCGACCUUAUGUGACCUUGGGCAAGGCCCUUUCUUGCUUUCCUCCCCUGUGCAUUGAGAAGGUAGAACUAGAUAACUACUCAGGCCCUUGCAACCCCACAGUUCUGUGGCUGCAGUUCUGGGCUGGUGUCUGAGUAGCAGGAAGUGGGCUUGGCUGGAUGACAGGAGCAGGUGGUCUCCAGAAAUUCCCAAAGCAUUGUCCUCCCACUUCUGUCACCAGAGUCGAGACAACUUGAGAGAAAAUACUGUGGGUGAAUUUCAAAGGCCAGCACACUGCUCAGGGAGUCCCCAGGAGACCCUGGCUCUCCUGUUAUUAGCUGUGUGACCUUGAGCAAAUUACAUCUUUGAGCUUCAGUUACUCAGUAGUCAAAACAAAAUGAGAAGAGUGGUGGUAUUUUAGGGUUUUUAUGGGGAUUAAACAGGAAGCAUAUGUAAAUACUUGGUCCAGUGCCAAGUUAAAUCCUCGAUGAGUGGUAGUUAUUGUUAAUAAUAAUACUUGCCGUGUAGCAAGCAGGUGGUAGGGCAGCUGUGAGCAGUGGCCACGGGGAGCACGGAAAGACUGUGGGCUUGCAGUGUGAUCUUCCCCUACCACCUUCAAAGCUUCCCUACAGAAUGGUAACAUCAGCGCUCUCUCUGUGUCUCUCUCUGUAACGGUUAGGACCAUUCUGCAGCAGAAACUUCAUGAGAAACAGAGACUGCUGGACUUUCCCAUAAUCUCACACCUGUUUCCUUUGGUUCUUCCUUCCCCACUCUCUGCCGCACCUCUGCGAUUAUGACAAAAGGGGCCUUUUACUCCAUUCCCCGAACCUUCUAGGAAUGGACCAACUGAGAACCAGAGAGGGGUAAGGCCGGUUGUCCCUGGAGCAAGUGGCUGAAGGCAUGCCUACAGCCUGGUGGAAGGAGUGGCAAAGGGACGGGCUCAACCUGGAGGGAACUCCCAGGACCCCAGGGCCAGGACUGAGGUUUACCCCAGACUUGCUAUGUGACCUUAGGCAAGGCGUACUCCACUGUGGACCUCAGUUUUCUCGUAUGUGAGGUGAAAGCUUGGUUUAGAUGACCCCAAGUCCUUUUGGUUCUAUUGAUCCAUGGCCUGCCUUUGCAGAGGCGGGGUGGAGUGGAGUGGAGAGGGGUGGGAGGUUUGUUGGAGUCAUUCAGACUUUGGGUGUUCCCUGCCCCCUAAUUCCAGUCCUGUAAGUCAGCUUGGGGAGACAUGAUGAUCUCCCCUUCUCAGUAAGAGUGCUGAUGGUUAAGAGCAAAGCCUUUGCAGAUGUCUACAGCCAGGUGGAGGGAGUGGCAAAGGGAUGGGCUCAACCUGGAGGGGGACUUCCAGGACCCCAGGGCCAGUACUGAGGUUUAGCCCAGACCCGCUAUGUCUAGGUUCCCAUCUUGGCUCGCUCCUUAAUAUCCAUGUGGAUUUAGGCAAAUUAUCCACCUCUGAGCCUCAAUGAUCUCAUCUGUGAAAUGGGAAUAUUACUUACCUGGAGUAGGAAGUCCCUACUGUGAUAUUAACCAGUGUACAAGGAAUGGGUGUUUGAGGUUCUAUGUUUUCACAGAGAGGGUUCAAGUUAGAGGAGGAGCAGGGAUACAGGUCACAGUCCUGCAGUUGUCACCAUGCACACGCUCCCCCCAAAUGCCCCAGUGUCUCCUGUGGCCUCCUGCUAUGCACUGGCCACAGGCUCCAGGAGUUUGCAUGCUCUGGUCUCCGUCCUGGGGCCUGGAGAAAGGAAGAGCUCAGCCACAGAGGCCAAAGGCCGAGCAAGCUUAAGUCUGAGAGCAGUGUGCUAACAAAAGGCUCCCGAUGAUGAGGGACCACGAGCCAGCGGCGUGGCAUCCCUCCAUUCAAGGUUAGUCAUGAGGAAAGGCUGUGAGAUGCAGCCUUAGAGAAAAGGCUGACGGAGUGGGGCACUUCACCAUCCACAGGGAUGUGCAGAUGAGUGGCAUGGCAGGACCAGGCACUGAAAGGGGCUGUGGGAUCAUCUCAUCCAAUCCUCUGGUUUUGAUCAUGGGGAAACUGAGGCUUAGAGAGGGGGAGCUCCUUGCCCAGGACCACACAGCACAUUGGCACCCACAGUGGAGCUUGCUGGCCCUUGUACCCUCAGUGCAAUGCUCUUUCCUUCCUCCCUGUUAAGCAGAAGCAGUUAUUUUCCAUCUUUUCUAAAAUCAGAGCACAAGGUAAAAUGCCUUGACUGCAACAGAAAGGACGUGGGUCCAGAUAGGAAGGAACUUCCUGAUCUAGAUACUGAGAUCAUGGCGUCCAAUCUUCCCAUUUUGUAGAACAGAACACGGAAGCCCAAGAAAAUUAAAGAACUAGUUUAAGGUGACCUGGUCUCAGACAUUUGAAUUCCCGGGCCUGAGCUCUCUGUUAGGCCUUGAGCCACACUGCUGCUCUUGAGCCAGACAGGGCAGAGGAUAGCCAAAUGUGAAAAAAAUAAACCCAGAUGGGCUUGGGGAAGGGAGGGAGGACAGAAAGACAGAAGUAUUACUUCCGAAACCACGCUUUUCUGUCUCCGCUUGUCUCAGUUGACCCCUGCUCAGAGCUAUAGAGGCUGACAGCCUGCUUUGCCCUCUGAGAGGAGAGAGGAGGGAGACAAUAGCCAGCCCCAUCGGUCUCACUUCCAUUGACAAGGCUGAGUGAAAGAAAGUCAAUAUUUGCACAGUGGCAAAGGACAAGGAAUAAGUCUGACUUGGGAUGGGGCGGCCUAGGGGCUUACAGGGUAAGGUGGUGGGGAGUGAUUCUGAAAGGAAAGGCUGCAGUGUGUAGGGCCUGGGUGUGAGCACUUGACUUCUAAAGGAGCCUUUGGAUUUUCCGCAUUAAAUAACCCUUUGUAUUUCGGAGUUCAUCCGGCCCCAUUCGCAGGCACCAUCCUCCCGGAAGCCCUGAUCCCUAAUAAAUUUCCCUUAUUGUUUGGAGCUGACACCUCCCCAGCUUUCAGCUCCCUGGAGAAAUGGAACUUUUGAAGCUUUUGCAGAAAGGCCUUGGAGCAGAUGGCCCAUUGAGCAGGUCUCAGGCAGAAGCUGCAGCAGCUGCGAGAAAUGCUCUCUUCCUUAACUGGGCCUAGGGAAAGAUAUGGAAAAGACCUUAGCAGGUCAGGAGAGGCUGUGAAUAUUUUUUUUCCUGCCUUUGUUUUGUUAUCUUCAUUCUUCUUCUCUGCAUCCUGCUCCCCUUUUCUCCAUGUCCCGAUUUUGGGGAGGGCUGGGGGGGAGGAGGAGCAAAGCCCACAGCCUUUCCCCAACUGCAGUGGAAUUCUUGAACCCUGUAGCAGCUGCCGGCCCCUUCAGUGGCUUUUGUGAUUGCUGUGUUGCUCAUAGAAUCCCAUCUUAGCAAUUUAACAAAGGGUGCAUUUGGGAGCAGAAGGGUUUCUGGUAGAAGGUAAUGGGCUAUACUGCAGCAGGAAGGGUUCGGGUAAGGUACAAGGAAGGACUUCCUACCAGGGGAAUCACCCUCUGAUGUCCACCAUCAUAGGUGGGCAGCCAUGUGAGUUGAUCUCCUGGACUCUCUUACUGUCUUGGGGAUGAGCCAGGUUUGUUACCUGCUUCUGAAGGGACCACAGUGACAUUCCUGGAGGUCAGUGCUACCACCCGAGACUAAACCUGGUCCCACAGCCACCAAAUUGAUGAUCAGGGCUGGCAGUCUUUGGAGACCAGAAAGCCAGAGGGGCUUCCUAAGCCCAUAGUUUGGCCCCGGGCUUGGGGAGGCUUGGCAGAGUGACUGACGGAGGGCAGAGGGUGAAAGGGGGAAGGAGAGCCCCCGGCCUGGCCUCAGCCCAGCCAGCCCUGCAGCCAGGAGAGAUACUGCAGCACCGAUGAGCAGCCGGCAGGAGAGUCUCUCAAAGCUGCUGCUCACAGUGGGGCAGGCCUCGCCUGCCAGCUCCAAGCCUGUCUUCAACCUGCUCCCCACUGCUCGGCUGGGCCGAGACUUGAGGGCAGCCGGCUGCUCAGAGACAGAUUGCAGCCUGUCCCCUGUCCCCGACCCCAGCACAUGGCACCUGGGAGAGAGCACAGCCCAGCUCCCAGACUUACGUGGUCUUGCUGCAUUCGUACUUUGUCCUGAGCUGACUUGUGGGACCCUAGUCCAUGGUUUUUGGUUUUGGUUUUCUGUUUUUUUGGGGGGACAGGGUCUCACUCUGUCACCCAGGCUGGAGUGCAAUGGUGUGAUCACAGCUCACUGCAGCCUCAGCUUCCCCAGGCUCAGGUGAUCCUCCCACCUCAGCAUCCUGCAAAGCCAGGACUACAGGUGUGCACCAACCACCACGCCCGGAAAACUUUUGUUUUGGGAUGUUUUUCUUUUUUUUUUUUGGCAGAGAUGGGGUUUCACCACGUUGCCCAGGCUGGGCUCAAACCCCUGGGCUCAAGCGAUCCUCUUACCUCAGCCUCCAAAAAGUGCUGGGAUUAUAGGUGUGAACCACCAUGCCCGGGCCCUAGUUCAUGUUUUAGUGAGACUUGGGCUAUGCGGAACCUGGUACUCGUAUGCUUGGCACUGAUGUGCCGUGGUUAAACCUCAGAUGCUGGGGCUGGGUAUUCAAAUCCCAGCUCCUCUAGUUUUUUAUCUGGAACUUUGGCUAAGUUAUUCAAACACUUGUUACCUCAGUUUCCUCAUCUGUAAAAUGGAAACGAAAUAGCUUGCCAUUGGGUUGGCAUGAGGAUUUGAGGUAUGACUGUUUACAUAUAGUUCUAAGAAUAGGCAGUAGCUGACACAUGGUGCUAUAAAGAUUUCACUAUAAAGUGCUAUAAAGAGUGUUGUUAUGGUGUUUCUGAAAACUGAACAGGGACAUUUUGUAGAUAAACGUAGCAGCAGAACUGGGAGUGGGCAAGUCAAGGAUAUGCCUGGCUUUGAUGAGAAGGAUCUAAAAUCCGGUGAACGCACUAUUAAGUUAAUGCACAUGGCCCCAUGCAAAUGAUUUCUCUCUAUCUCUUGGACCUCAGUCGUCCCCAUUAGAAAAUGUGGAGAGGGAUGCCUGUCUUCCUCAUUUCCCCCAUGAUGUCCCGGGAUCAAAUAAGGUGGCUGAUGUUCUGAAAAAGCCAGUGAGCCUAGCGGAUGCGCAGGCUGGCCUCUUCCUGUCCCUUCUCUGGAGCACAUGCUGGCUUCCUGGCAGAGUACCCGGCGUGUUUGCUCUCCCAGUGAGGCCACUGGACUCUGGGUGGCUCCAGGCUGAAUCCAGCCCUUCUCAUUUUCUGUUCUUAUUUCCCCUGGAAAAAGGAUGGUGGUUUUGUAUCUCUGAAUGCUCCUUAGGAAGGGAGAAGGAGUGUUUCUGAAUGCUGUCUUUAGUUAUACAAGCAGAGAAGGGGCAGGAGAACCUCUCCUUUGAGCUGGGACACCCUGGCCAUGAUCUCCAGACAGACUAAGGUGAUGCCUUCUCUGGGGUGUCAGAAGUGGGAGCUCCUUCCCCCACCACCCGCAGCCAGACUAUUCACGGUGCAGGGAGGCAGGAACGGGGGCUGAACAGAAGCAGGACAUUGAGUCAGUGUCCCAUUCAGUAUCUUUCCUGCCAGGUAAGACAAGGACCCUGGUUGUUAGUGCCCUUGUGGCCUCCUCCUCCCUGGGUGGGAGGCAGAGCCAACCUGACCUGCUCACAGUAUUCUACUGAUGGCUAGAUUAGGGCCUCAUGGAUUGGCCCCAAUAUCCUCUCCCAAGAACCACAGAGGUGACCAGGCUGUGUAUUCCCAAGCCAGCAACCAAAUGACACCCUUUGCCCUAUAGACUUCCCGCCUGGUCAUCUGGGGUGAGUUGUAAGUAUGGAGAGGGAAGGCCACUUGAUUUUAGAGAUACUCAGGGCCUUAGAAAUGCGUGCUUCUGGAGCUGUCCUCAGAGCCUCUUCCUGAAUAUCAUUUUACCAAGAUCCCCAAAGACGAGGUUUCUUGGCUAAGGUCAUCCCCAAAAUCAACCAUGAGCUCAUGGCUUAAAGUCCCCUAUAUUUCCUCUGCCCCUUCCCCCAGGCUUCCCUAAAGAAGGCAUCCAGCAUUGGCUAGAAAUGUAGGCGUCCCAUCAGGUGCCUGCCUCCUGUGACCCCGCUCCUAACCUCAGAUCCCCCCGAACAUCAUCCAUUCUAAGCUGGAUGGGUUUGGAUUUGACACAGGAAGAACUUCCUGAGUGACUUCACUGGGACAGGGAACGGAGGCUUUCCCCAAGAUACAUAAGGAAAGACCUGGUCUCCAUGGAGCAAGUCUUAGGAGCUUCAGGAAUUCGACAAAACAAAGUCCAAAAUCAGGUCCACAACCCACUCACCGUGGGACUUUGGGCAAGCCGCUGACUCUCUCUCAGCCUUAUCAUUAACUUGGAAUGGAUGUGACUUACUGUCUUACUUACGGAAGUUUAUAAAUAUAUAUUUACUUUUUAAAAACAGCUGUAUUGAGAUAUAAUUCAUACUACACAGUUCACCCAUUUAAGUGCACGCCUCCACCCCACAAAGGAACUCCAUACAUACUAACAGUCACCCUCGAUUCUUCCAUUCCUCCACCCCACAAAGGAACUCCAUACAUACUAACAGUCACCCUCGAUUCUUCCAUUCCUCCACCCCACAAAGGAACUCCAUACAUACUAACAGUCACCCUCGAUUCUUCCAUUCCUCCCAGGCUUAACCAACGAAUAAUCUACUUUCUGACUCUAUGAAAUUGGACCUUCUGGAUAUUUUAUUUAGAUGGAAUUAUACAAUACCUAGUCUUCUGUGACUUCCUUCACUCACCUAAUGCUUUCAAGGUUUAGCCAUGUUGAAGCGUGUGCCGGUACGUUGUUUCUUUUUAUUACCAAAUAACAUUCCAUUGUGUGGAUAUACUGCACUUUGUUUCUGCAUUCAUCAGCUGAUGGAUAUUUGGCUGAUUCAUUCCACCUGUCAGCUACUCUGAAUAAUGCUGCUCUAAACACUUGUGUAAGGGUUUUCAUGAGGAUGUGUAUUUUCAUUUCUCUUGGGUGUAUGCCUAGGGUUGGAAGGAUUGUCAAAUGGUAUACUUAUUUCUAAAUGGUAUAUUUAUAUUAUUGGGCUCUGUUCUAAGUAUUUUAUGUGGAUAAUCUCCUUUAAUUAUCACAAUACGAAGUAGGUACCAUUAUGGAUCCCUGUCUGGGAAAGUGAAGAAAUGGAGGCAUCAUUUGAGGGACAUCAAGGGACUUGUCCAAGGAUACUCAGCUAAGAGAGCCAGGAUUUGGACGCUGGCAUCUGACCCUUUGCUCUUCCGCCACCUUCCUCCCACAUGUGAAGUUGAAGUGGGAGAAUGUCUGAAAGUGCUCCCAGCCUGAGUGUAGUAGGUGCUCAAGAAAUGUCUGAUGGAUGCUGGAAAAGGGCCAGACACCCUGCAUUUCGCUGUCUGACUCACCAUGUGGCUUUAGGGAAUUUGUGUCCCUUUGAGCCUCAGUUAAAUUUCCCCAAUACAUAAAGCGUCAACAUGGCAUUUCAUAACAGACAGAGCUAGAUGGGAGGUAUAGUAUCAUGCAAAGAGCCCUGGAUUCUAGCUCUGGCUCUCACUGGCUUGAAAGAAAUAAUUUUCUUUCUCUGUCUCUUGGUUUCCCUGCCAUUCAAUUAGAGGCUGGAACAAUUGACCCCAGGUUUCCUAUCAGCUCACCCUUCCUGUGUGAGUUCUGUUUAAGUUUCCUUCCAGCUCACCCUUCCUGUGUGAGUUCUGUGUAAGCUUCCUUCCAGCUCACCCUUCCUGUAUAAGUACUGUGUUCUUCCUCAGCAACUGGAGCCCCCAGGGACCUAAGCUGGAAUGGGUGCCCAGGGCUUCAGGUCACUGCUGUGCUCAGUGACACUUCUCCCACCUAGUGUGUUAGAAGGCCAGGUAGGGGGCUGAGUGAGAUGAAGAUGGGGAGAGGGGAGAACCCCGCUAAGCCUCCCUCCCUUGGUGUGGGCUGGGGACCUUCCGUUCUCUAAGCCAGAAAACAGCCACCUCACCUAUACAUCCUCACUCUUCCCUGGCUCCCCUUAUCUUGAGUCCUGCUUCUCUGGAGUCCUGCUCCCUCUGGAGUCACUGCAGCCCUCAUUCCAAUGAACUAUCCAGCCGCCUUCAGAGGCUUGGCCUAGCUCCUGGUUUGGGAUCACUUAUGGGAAAGUGCUGAGCAGCCACUGGGUGCCCAGCGUGUGUCAGUUGACUUACAUAGGGGUCAGUAUUUGAGCGAGUGGCUUCCCCUAGGUCAAUUUUGGCUUCCCCUAGGUCAAUUGAAUGAUUCCCCAGUUCAAUUUUCCCCAUCCUUUUUUAGCAAGAGCAUUCAUUGCGUUCUGCAAACCCAACCUGGCAGCACCAAGUGAGGUGCAUCUGCAUCUUCCACCUGCACAGCCACAUCCCGAAGACUUUUCCUGGGCCCUCCCUCUAGUCCAUCUUCCUUACUUCCUGGAUGCCACCAGUCAGAGCUCCUCCUGCAUCUCAGGUCCCGUGCCAAGUGAGUAACAUAUAGGAGAGUGCAUUUACCCCUCUGUGGUGGGAAUUUGUUGUGUUUCUAUGGAAGAGGAAGCAUGUCCAGGACAGGGAAAUAAUUUCUCCAAGGUCACCAAGCCAGUAGGUAACAGUGGAAGGAUUUGAGCAAAGGCAGUCUGGUCCCAAAGCCUGGGUCACUUGACUGAAAGGAAAGAUGGCAUCAAGGGCUUUUAAGGGGGGCCCAGACCCAGGGAAAUUGGGUGGAGCGUCUCUGGGCAGGUGGACUCUGGACUCCUCCAGGGCAGGGCCAUGUCUCUGUCUUAUCUCUUACACUGUGUGGAGAACAGCUGAGCCUGGGAACGCCCUCUUCUGGACUUAGUCUUCGCACCCACAGAACAGGGUCUGACAUUUCCAGCAGGCCUGUGCUCCAAGCUUUCCUGGAGAUCUGGUGAUGGCCCAGUAGCCUGCCUUCCACUGGUUAUAGAGUCAGUUUCUCUUGGGUUUGCUCUUGCCUCUAGUGUGAUGAGCUGGAGUCGCAUUCCCAGCUCCACUCCCCCAGUGCCUGCAUGUCUCACUAUUUUUAAGCUUCGUGGGUUUAAUGAGCUGCCUGCUAUGACACGUCUUCAACAUUCACCUUUUCCUCCAACGAACCUCAGAGAGCUAGGUUGGGCUGCUUUUACCCUUGACAGUGCCCCACCCCAGUCAGGAGGCCGGAGCUAGGCUGUUUCCCUGCUGGGCCCAGACUGGGCUUCCUGAGACCCCCACUGCGGUGUGCCCCACAAAUUACCUAGCGGUGACAACACUGCAAAUUCCAGGCCCUCGGGAGCUGGCCCCUUCUCUGGUGCUGCCUUCUGUCUUGUUUCUCCCCUCCUACCCCACCUCAGCCCCUUCCUGCAGAGUGGUGAUGUCAUAAAGGGAACUCCUGUGCUCUCCACUAAUUUAAUUGGCAACUACUUCUCCUUGAGGACAAACUGCCUGGCAAACCAGCAGGGCCUGGUGAAUGAGGCCAGUCGGCAGCAAGGGCUGGGAUGGAGAUGUCAGAUUUAGACACUCUCUGGGUUGGAAGAAGGACCUCAGAUUUUAUCUAGGCCAAGGCUGUGUCCCCUUAUCUGAGUCCUGUCUGUAACAUCCCUCCCAAUAGUGGGCUAAUCUCAGAUUGAAUGCUCCCAACGAUGGAGCACUCAUUACCUCCUGGGACCACCACCCCAUCAAUGGGGUGGUGCUGACUGUGCAAAAAUCCUCCUUCAUUUUGAGCCUAAAUCUAUUUUCCUACAUGAAGAGAGGAGACCGGCUGGUCUUGGGUUGGAGGCCAGUGGGUUCAUUCAUUUUCUGCCUCUAGCCCUCACUGCUGCAAAGGAGGAACCACAAUUCCCUCUUCAUGAGGAAGCAUGCAUGUGUCAUGGGCAGGGCAGAGGCACCGCUGACCCACAAAGAUGUGAUGUGAUUCCUUCCUCUCAGGGGACUUUGUUGGGGUGAGGUGCCACUGCAAAGAGCUGAGAAGCUGCUAGAAAAAAGUGUGAAGCGAACCUGCAGCAGAAAAUCAAACACUGAUGCAGGCUAGCUCUGUCUAUGGGGACGGUUAUAUGCUGGCUCUCUGUUGCCAGCUCCAGGGAGUCAGGGUCUGAUAGGAGCCAUCCUAGGAAUUCCACUUCUAACCAGGGAUCAUCUGCAGGGUGACUGAAACUCCCUGCGGUUCCACAGAGCCACAGAUGCUCACCCAUGCCGGCUUUGGUAGGCAGGCAGCUCAUUAAGCUCAGGAUCUUGCUAGCUUGGAAGAGCACUGGAUUGGGAGGCAGGUUCCUUACCCUAUCACUUUGGACAAGUCCCUUCCUCUCUCUGGCUGUCAGUGUUCUCAGCUGUGGUCUGUGCUGUGCGUGGACCUUCAGAAAUGAUGCGGGGCUGGGCGCUGCAGCUGCCGAAUGCUGUGUGUGUGUGUGUGGCUGGAGGUGCUUCAUCCUGGGCCGUGCUCUGCAGGGCACAGUGUUUGUCACCAGUGGUCAUAUGAAGGGGACAGUCCUCUGCCAACCUCCAUUCCCCCCUCUCCACUGGCCCAGAGCAGGGAGGCCAGAGCCCUGUGUAUUUCACUGCUAAGCAGGGCCAGGGCCCAUUCACAAAUGUUUGCUGGGGCCUGGGGGUGUGGAGCAAUGCCUCCACUCUGGCGAGGGAAAGCCCAGGGGCCUUGGUGUCCUGGCCCAGGGAGGCUCUCCUGUCCUGGGUCAGGCUCUGUGGAGAGGGUCCCACAUGAUGGCAUCUCUGGAGCCAGGGGCAUGUUUGGCCGUGUCAUCACCUUCCCAAGUCAGCUGUCAUCUCUGCACUUUCCAGGGUGGUGGCUGUGAGGGGCCCAUUGUGGUUUGUGGUUGUCAGACACCCACCCAGGCGGAUGUCUCUUCCUGGAACUGGCCACCGUCUUCCAAGCAAACUGCAUCUCCUAAACCUUGGCUCCGUGCUGCUCUUCCAGGAAGCCUUUCCUCAGUGGCACCCUGGUUCUUGGUGCCUUUGCCUGUGGCUCUCAGCAGAUGCACCUGCGAUCGUGGGAAGGCUGGUGGGUGAUGCGAUACACUUUGCUGUAUUAGGGUGUCCGUUUCCUCUCCCCGGGGUGUCUUCUAGCACCCCAUCAAGCCAGAGUAUGUGGGAGCCAGGCCUGCAGCACUGCCCUGGGUCAGCUCACAGCGCUUUCUGCUCUUCACAUUCAGUUUUCUUUUUGAUUGAGUUAUGGUUUAGAUGCAGUGAAGUGCAGGACUUAGGGGCAUAUGCACCUCAUAGUCACCAGAGGAAUUUCUCAGAAAGAUCCCUGUUCCCUCCGAGCCCCUGCCUGCCCCUCACGUGUGGCUGCUCUAUUGCCGUGGGGUCAUUUUCUGUUCUUCAGAGCUUUCCUCCCAUCCCUGGUCGUGCCUCAGUUUCCCUGCCUUUCCUCUUUCUCUACAAAUCCUCCAAAUACUGAUACUACUAGAAGCCCAUCUCUGGCUUUCUUCUUAUGCCCACACUCUCCCCGGGGAAUUAUUCUUUUGUGCUAGUGACUUCUGGAGACACUUCUGAGCAACACACACCUGCCCGUCCAGCUGCCUGCUGGGGAUGGCCCUCACCUAGUGUCAAACUCCUGGGCCCCAGUGAUUCUCCCACCUCAGCCUCCUGAGUACCUGGAACUACAGGCACACGCCACCAUGCCUGGCUAAUUUUCAAAUUUUUUGUAAAGACAGGGUUUCACUGUGCUGCGCAGGCUGGCCUCGACCUCCCAAAGUGUCCGGAUUACAGGCAUGAGCUGCCAUGCUAGGGGUGGAUUUCGACUGGGACAUCCUUGGGGAGUCUGGGCAACCUUUCCCCUUCACAUCUCAGUGUUGUCAUCUCUAGAGUGGGAGUGGCAGUGACAGGAAGAACAGCUAGACUCUGCUGACUUUUGAGAGGAAGAUGCGAUCAGAUAUCCACAGAUGAGAACUUGAAAACUUGAGUAACCAAAGUGGAGACUCAGCAGCCAGUUGGAGAGGCCAUGGCUGCUGAGAGAGGCCUGAGUAUCGGGGAAGGCGGACUGGGGGUGGGGGAAAGGCUUGGUAGUAUCUGGGCACAGGGGCAGGAAAGCAGCCAGGGCUAGUGCAUGGCUCAGAGGAGAGGACUUGGCCCAGAGUUGGGCCUCAAGAAGGCUGUCUGGGUUGGAGCUAAAGGCAUGGGUAGAAGGAGGACCAUUUAUUAAGGGAGGCUUGAAUCAUCCCAGGAAGUAAAACAAAGGGUGUUGGCUUAACCUGGUCCUUCACAGGGGUUAGCAGAGAUGCUGCCCCACCUCUCCGCUGGAGCCAUCCCCACGUGCUCCUCACAGGCCUACGCCAGCCUCGCUCAGGAGCCAGCCAUGGGCAUAACACCAUGCUUUACAUGUGGUGCUCCUGAGCCUUACAGCCCUGAGUGGCAGCUUCCAGUAUCACUCCCAUUUUGCAGAUGGAGUGCUGAGACCCAGAGAGGUUAAGCAACCUGCCCAGGUUCCCUUGGCUAAAAGUGGCAGAGCUGAGACUCCAAUCCAGGUUGGCCUGCCCAGAGCCCAGGUGCUAAUUCACCCCACUUGGCUGCACCUGUGUCUCACUUGGCUCCUCUUCCUCAGCAGAGCUAUCUUUUAGCUUUGGAUCCACGUAGAACUCCAAAUUAAGACUUUCCAAUUUGGAAUUCACCCCCCAUGGCUCCCCUCCUCCAGCCCACGGGUGUUUUGAGGCCAGGGUUCAUCCCUCUUGGCCCCUGUCUUCCAUGUCCACCUGGCCCGGGGUCAGGCAGGAGAGUGGGCUACUUCUGAGAACCUAAUUGUGCCCCCGGGACUUGCAUGCUCUACUGUAGUUUCUGGAGACCACAAGCUGUCAGAGGUGUUGGUGAUAAUGGGCAUCUCUGUCUGAAGAGUGAUGGACACAGCUCCGUCCCUGGGGCCUGGCCAGCAUCUGGAAGGACGGAGGUGCUCUUGGAAAUGGGAGGAACAGACUGCACCAUCCUAGGCUGGCUCCCUGCCUGGGGUGCCAGCUCCCAGCUCCUACCGAAAGCAGGCUGGGCUCCCCAGACGUCUCCUGACCUCUCCCAGGUUCUAGCAUGGCCCACAGUGAGCUACUCUGUUGCCUGGGAGUACAGCCCAUCCUUGGGGUAAAGGUGCUGUAAGCAAGCGACCUGUUUCAUUCCUCACUCAGGCUGUUUCCUCAACUACAAAAUGGGCAUCACAGUCCCCAUCUCACAGGACUGUGAUGAAAUGGAAUGCAGCACUGGCAUGGAGUGGGCAUGGUGGCGGUCUCCCUCCCUGCCCCUGGCACCCGCCUCUGGGCCCACUGUCUUCGUGAUCUUCCCGUUAGACCCGCCUUCCCAGUGUGCUUGAGGAGCUCGAGGGGGCUGUUUGUUGGGAAGGAAAGAGCCCUGGGCUGGGUGCUAGGAAGUUUGUGUUCAAGUGCACUCUGAGGUCUCGGGCAAGUUGACCUCUGAGCCUGAGUUGUCUGCUCCGUCAAGGGGCAGAACCACAUCUGCUGCACCUCCCCGAAGGCCUGAGCUCUGUUCUCUCGUGGUGAGCUGCGUCAGGAUGGGGCUGGAUUUUCCUCGUCUUGUAUUCCCAGCACUUAGCAUGGAGCAGGAUUUGGAAGAAACAAAGUGAGGAUCAGAUGAAAGAGUGGAUUUUUAAGCAAUUAAAAAUGCUAGUGGGUAUUUUCAAGGUUGGGUGAGGCAGACAACUCCUGGUCGGCCCCUCAGUAACCAGGGAAUUGGUCUUCCUGCUCUUCCUUUGCACAUUAGUCUCCGGAGAACCUGAGCUGCUUGGGACCCCCUUUCUCUGCAGGGAGCCAUGGGCCUGCCUGCCUACAGGCUGCCCUCGCAUCUCCCCCGGUGGAGCCCCGCAAGGCAGUGUGCCUGCUCGUCUGCACCCCACCCGUGACCACUCAGGCCCUGGGUGUCAGGGUGUGACCUAGACAAGGUGCCUCUUCUGGCUUUGGGGUUUCCCAUCUCUCCUUUGGCAGGGAGCUUGAUGGGACGGAGGUUGCCAGAGUUGGAGGGCAGUGCCUGGUGAGAUCCCCCGCCGCCUCUGUUACCUGCUGCCAGGCUCAGCAAUCAGGCUCCUCCUCCGGGACCUGGCAGGGAAGGCAGUGGUAAACAAGACACGUUCCCACCUCGCAGCCCUAGUCCUCUGGGAGCUGAGCUGCUUAUGCAAGCACCUUUGACACCACACAGAAGUGAUGCAGUUUCUGCCAGAUGAACACACACAGCCAGGGAGAAUUCUGGGGCUCAGGCUCCCCAGCUGCACAGCCUCUGCAGCAACCCUUGCCCUCUGGGACACAGCCUGGGCUGGCUCAAUCCCUAACUUGACGAGCGCUGCAGCAGUCAUUGUGGGGAACACGAUGUGUGUCCUUGAGUCCACGGUCAGCGUGGACUUGGCCUAGCCCUGCUGAAAGGAGAGCUGGGGAAAGGAAAUGAGUAUUUAUUUAGGGUCUACUUUGUGCCAGCACACGUGGCCUGUUCAAUCCUUAUAACCAUCCCUGUGAGACAGGCACCUGACCCUCGGUUUGUAGCUACGAAAUGAUCCCAGAGAAAUUAACUCAUCUCCCAGGCUGCAGAGCUGCUAAGCAUCAGGUUGGAAAGCAGCCACGACCCCUCCCCACUUUGCGCCACCCACCUUCAAAUGUAGGACUCUCCAAGCAUCUCGGAGGGCCGGGUCUUAAAAGCUGAGAGGCUAUCUAGGCCGCGUGCGGUGGCUCAGGCUUGUAAUCUCAGCAGGUGAAUUGCUUGAGCCCAGGAGUUGGAGACCAGCCUGGGAAACAUAGUGAGACCCCUUCUCUACAAAAAGUAGCUGGGCAUGGUGGUGCACCUGUAGUCCCAGCUACUUGUCAGGGUUGAGGCAGGAGGAUCAUUUGAACCUGGGAGGUCCAGGCUGCAGUGAGCUGUGAUUGCGCCACUGACUCUAGCUUGGGCAACAGAGUGAGACCCUGUCUCAAAAAAAUAAAAAUGAAAGCUGAGGGGCUCUCUUGGGAGAUGCAAAGCCACUUUCCAAACCUUGGAAAGAAGGGGAGAUAAACCAGGUCUCCUGAUACCUCGUUCAGGUCCCAGACCUCAGGCCACCUUUGGAGACAGAGGGUCUGGCAACAGAUGUCGCUGCAGAGGGAGUAGGGGGCUGGUGACCCUGUGGUCUCUUCCAACCCCAAGGCUGUAAGGUGACACGCACCCUAGUCCACUCCCUCUCAUUACCCAAGUGCAUUGCCUGUAGCUAUCACCCUGGCUUCCUGGACAAGGGGUGUGGCUGAGACCCCCAGCUCUCCCUUCCCUGGGGCUUCUUACAUUCCCACAUAUGGCAAUGUAAUGCACCUGCACGCACACAUUUGCAUACAUGUUCACGGCCAGUUCAUGUAUGUUUAUACAUUAAUACAUGGUGUUCAUACACAUGGUGUUCACACGCGCGCACACACACAGCCUUUCUGGCAUUCUCUGCCGUGUCUCAUGGCUGCUGUCACCCAUCUCAGCUGGGCCUGAGAGAUAGAGACAGGCCUCCUCGUCUGGUGCUGCCGGCUAGCAGACGCCACGAUGCUGAUGUUCUGCUCCAUUACGGGGCUAAUGGAGCCUCCCUCUGCUUCCAGCCUCCCACCAGUUGCCCACCUCCUCCUUUCCAGGGUGUGAAUAUUGACUGGGGCCCUGAGAGGCAGUGAGCCUGGCUGGGGUGCCCAGUUGUGUGUGGAGGGUGUGGGCGUGGGCCUGGGGUGCACGUGGGGCUGGAGGUAGGCGGCAGGCUCCUGGAUCGACAGCAGGGGGCACCAAUAGGUCUCCUCGUCCAGUCGCAGGGAGGAAGAAGGGCUGGGGAGGAGGCUGCGGUGGCUCCAGCUUCUCUCCCUCAGCUUGAGCCUGGUGGGGCACCGGCCAGCCAGCCCCCGCUCUUGCCCCGCCCACUGACAACACCCCCUCCCCUUACACUCCCUGCCCAUGCUACCCACACACCCUACUGCCAAACACAUAUGCCAUACUACACACCACACACACACGCCAUACUACACACCAGACACCCUACUACACACACACACGCCAUACUACACACCCCACACACCACACACACACCACGCACACCCUACUACACACCAAACACGUCAUACCACACACCACACACCGUACUACACACCACACACAUGCCAUACUACACACCACACACACCCUACUACACCCCCACACAUACCCUACUACACACUACACACAUGCCAUACUACAUACCACAUACACUCUACUACACACACAUGCCAUACUACUACACACCACAUACACCUCCCACACACACACCACACAGACACACACCAGGCACACCCUACUACAUACCACACACACAUGCCAUACUACACACCACAGACACCCUACUACACACCACACACACCCCACACACACACCACGCACACACUACUACACACCACACAUGCCCUACUACACCCCACACAUGCCAUAUGACACACCACACACACGCCACACACGCACCCUACUACACACCACAGAGGCAUGCCAUACUACAAACCACACACAUGCCAUACUGCACACCACACACACUCCCCACAUACACACACCAUGCACACCCUACUACACAUCACACACACACACACACACCCUGCUACACAGCACACAGACCAUACACACCCCACACAGACACACACACCACACACAUUACACAGACACCAUAUACCACACAGAUACCCCCUACUAUGCACCACACACACACUACUACAUGCCACACACCCUACUACACACCACACAGGCCACACAGACACACCACAGACACACACCACACACAAAUGCCCUACUACACGCCACAGACACCACACACACCACACACACACUCUACUACAUGCCACACACCACACACACCACACUCUAUAGACACCGUACUACAUGCCACACAUACGAUACAUACCAUACCCACCCUACUACACACCACACACACACUACUACAUGCCACACCACACAUACCCUACUGUGAUGCCACACAUACCACACAACCACCACACCACCCUACUACACACCACACACACCCUACUACAUACCAUACCCACCCUACUACAUACCAUACCCACACACCAGACACCAUACACACCCUACUACACACCACACAAACCACACACACACCCUACUACACACCAUACAGACACCAUACACACCCUUACUACACACCACACACACCCUACUACAUACCAUACCCACACACCAGACACCAUACACACCCUACUACACACCACACAUACCACACACACACCCUACUACACACCAUACAGACACCAUACACACCCUUACUACACACCACACACACCCUUCUGUACACCACACAUCCCACACACACACCACACCACACACACUCUACCUCACACCACACACAUUGUACACAGCACAUACCCUACUACACACCACACACACAGCACACGCUUCUACAUACCACACACACCACACAAAAACACAUACACACAUACACACACCACACAGACACCAGACACACCACACAUCACAAACAUCAUAUACACCCUACUGCACACCCCACACCCCACAGACACACCCUACUACAUAUCACACACACCACACAGACACAUACCACACACAUCUUACUACACACAACACCUAUCACACCACACACCAUACACACAUCCUACUAUACGCCACACACCAUACACACACACCACACAUAGCACAUACGCACUGCUAUACACCACACACCACACAAACAUACUCCACACACACUACACCAAACACACCACACAGACACACAUAACACUCAUCACACACACCAAACACACCCAACUACACACCACACACACCCUACUACAGACCACACACAUACCACACACACACACACCCUACUACACAUCACACACCAUAUGCACACACCCCACACAGCGCACACACACUGCUACACACCACACAGACCAUGCACAUACCCUACUAUACACCACACUACAGACACAUACCACACUCAUCACACACACACCAUACAUACCCAACUACACAACACAUGCAACACAGACCCUACUACACACCACACACACUAUUACACACCCCACACAGCACACACCCUACUACACACCACACACACCCUACAACACACCACAUACACCACACACCCUACUACACACCACAAACACACUACUGCACACCACACACACUACUACACACCACAUACACCACAUACCCUACUACACACCACAAACACACUCUACUGCACACCACACACUACUACACACCACACAGACACACCACACGUCACACACACCCUACUACACACCACACAGACACACAUCACCCAUACCCCAACUACACACCACACACAUACCCUACUACACACCACACACCUCACAUGCACCACCCCCCCAACUACACACUACACAGAAACAUCACACAUACCACACACACCCAACUACACAUCACAUACCACAUACACACCCUACUACACACUACUAAACACCACACACACCACAGACACACAUACAUACUACACACUACAUACACCACACGACACACACGACACACACCCUACUACACACCACAUACCUACCUCACUACACACCACACACCACAACACAUACCCAUAUUAGACACAUCACAGACUCACUGACACAUCACACACAAACUCACUAUACCCCAUACUACACGUAUAUACACACCACACACAUGCCACUACCCACCACUACCCACAUACCCCCCAACACCCACUAUACCCUCCACCCCACCUCACCCCCACACAUCAUACACACCUCACUCACACCAUAUACACAUACCCCACUGUCCCCACACCCUAGCGCCUACAUUACACACUCACUACACAUACAGCGCACACAUCCUACGUGCACACCACACCAUAUACACCCCUGCCCACCACACACUUGCACAUAUCACAUAGGCACACUCAUACCACACACACACACCACCACACUCAUGCACUCCUAUUAAAAGGCUUUUGCUUUCGUGCCAAACCUCUAACCCUGUCCCUUAGAGGGAUGGUGCUCGGCCGAGCUAGUGUGUUCAAACCUUGUAACAUUUAGUCAGAAAAUGCAUCAAUUUUUAAUGGUUUGUAGCUGAAAAUGAAGAUGUGCAUCUGGCGUGAAGGAUAGCAGGACUGUGCUGGAAGGUGCUGUGUGUCUUGUGAGGCAGAGCUGCUCACGAUGUGGCCAAGGAUCCAUCAAUUGUGUGGGUUAAUCACUGCUAAGCCACGGGAGCUCCUCUUCCCCCAGCCUCCCAGGACCAAAUGUUGGACUGAAGCAUUGGUGCAAAACAUAAAGACAUACAUUUCUCCUGAGGUAUUGAUCUUCGUAGCCCGCUGACUUCGGGGAGAGGCAUCUUGCUGCUCAACCUUUUCCCAUCUCAUUACUUUGGCUUCUGCAAAUACAAUGCUAGGAAAGAUUAAAUACUGUAAGCUGUAUCCAGUCAGUCUCCAUUAUCUGCAUUAAUCGAGGCCAGUACUGAGUGGGGUAAUCCACAGAAGUGCCUAGUCCCCAGAUUAUAUUUAAUUGGUUUGGGGUGGCAGCUGAUGGUGAGUUGAGAGUGAGUGUGUGUGUGUGUCUGUAUGUGUACACGUGCACACACACAAUGCUUUUGGUGAGGGUGAGGAUCGAACUUACCCAUCUUUGAUGGGAUCCAUUUUGAGGAGUCUCAUGUGGGGGCACACCAAGGGAGCACAGAAGCUUGCCGGAAGGGACAGCAGGGCUUCCGGUCUCCUGAUGCUUUGUAGGGAAGAGGAGAAGCAAGGUGAGGGGCGAGGUGGCCUCUGAGGGUGAGAGGGAACGGUCCUGGUGGCACGCUCCCUGCAGCAUGCCUCCCCCUGGAGCAGGUCUGGCCAUUCCUGGAUGAGCUAUACAAACCCACUCACUGGUUCUCUCUCUUGGUCAGGUGCAGUGACUCAUGCCUGUAAUCCCAGCACUCUGGGAGGCUACAGCAGGAAAAUUGCGUGAGGCCGGGAGUUCAAGACAAGCCUGGGCAACAUAGUGGUGCCCUGUCUCUAUACAACAUUUUAAAAACUAGCCGGGCAUGGUGGUGCACAUUUGUAGUCCUAGCUCCUUGGGAGGCUGAGGUGGGAGGAUUGCAUGGACCCAGGAGUUUGAAGGCUGCAGUGAGUUAUGGUCACGCCCCUGCACUCCAGCUUGAGCAACAGAGUGAGACACUGUCUCUAAAAAAUAAAAUGAAAUAUACAAACCGCCUCACCUGUUUUCUCUUUCACAAGGCUGAGGGUCCAGCUCCAGGGUUCUGAAGUACCAGAGGGUGGAAGAGACAGGCAGAUAUUUGUGGGGUUCAACAUUUUAAAGAUACAGAAAGAUUUUUCAGCUUCUCCGUUUCCAACUCCCCUCCCCAGAAGCGACUACAACUAAUGUUAGCCUUCUGCACCUUUCCAGAACCGGCUGUGAACAUAGCAUAUGCUCCUCCCCACCCUUCACGCAGGUGUCAUGCUCACUCCUCUGCACACCAACUCUUUGACUAUCUCUCUUGGAGAUCAUUCCCUAUUCUCCCACACAGAGCAAAGCUCCAGGGCACCAGGGCUUUCUGUGAUAUUCCCACGUGGGCUGACCAUGGGCAGAGUGAAGACCCUCAAAGCAGCACAUGUAGAACUACUGAGAGUGUGAGUGUGAGAGUGUGCGAGGUCGUCUCACCCCCCUUUUCUCCUCCAGCCUCGCUCCCCUUCCCUCCUACUCAACUUGUCAAUCAAGUCUCCCUCGAGUUUAGGUACAGGAAUGCCACUGAGCUCUGAGCACAUCUGGGCGUUUGGAGUUGAGGAAAGAGAGAGCCUCUAGACAGGUGUUGUUUCUGCUUGUUGUGGGAGGGCUCGUAAUGAGGGCAGAGAUGGCGGCACUUCCAUCCGCCUGCACUCCCACCCCUAGGCUCUCUGUUCAUGCAUUCUUCUUGAUACUCACCUAAGUCCUGCUUUCUGCAUGACUUUUCUCUCCAUAUAACAGAGAGGAAAAAAAUGAUAGGACAAAGGAUAAGUCAACCAGGUUGUCACCCGCUCCACAACUCCUCACCCACCCUAGGCCAAGUGUGGCUGAUGUUCCUAGCAGAGUGAGCCAGAGGCAGUUAAUAGGUGCUCUGAGACCCCAGCGUGUUCUUGGGUCUGUGCAGGGACUCAGACCACAUAUGCCUGAGCCUGGUUCCUCUUGGACCACUGCUCCCAGCCCUGGGGUCACUUGCAAAGGCCUGAGUGCUUGGGACUGACACUGUCACAGAGGCCAAAUGGCCAUCUUAGGCAGACAGACAAAAGGAUAGCAGCCAGUGGACUGGGAGGAGAAGGGAAUUCCUGCGUGGAUUUGGUUUAGUGACCUCGAUUCUGGUCUACCCCUGCUUCUCCAGCAUCAUUUCCCACUAUUGGAGACUCCCCCUUCCUGAGCUUUCCCUGAGGACUGGGCCCCCCACCUUGCCCCUGAGCAGGAGACCUGGCCUCAGUCAAAUUUAGACCCAGAUCUUUAUUCUGACCAACUGUGUGACCUUGGGCAGGUCACUUGCCUGUCUGGGCAGUGUUUGCCUUAUCUUUGAAUGAUGCUAGUAAUUGUGUCCUCCUGGGUGGGUUAGAUGAGAACGUCUGUGUGCUCACUAAACAGAGUUAUGGUGAUGGAACCGGUUGUUGCCCCAGUGUCGUCCUGCCCACCCCGCCCUGAUGCAGCCUUUCCCGGGUUUGGGGUGGAGAGCACCUUCCAGGUCCACAGAGCCUUCGAGGCUUAUUUUACUUCCAGCAACUGGGCUUGGACUUUGACCUGUCUGGCAAGUGUUUCCAAAUUACUUAGAACUUCGUGUUUUCAGUGUGGCGCCCAGAUCACCUGCAUCAGAGGAAACGGGAGCUUUUUACAAUGCAGACCCCGGGGUAUGCUCCAGCCCACUGAGUUAUCUGAGUUAGGUUCUAGGGGACAGUGUGCAAGGGCAGGGGGUCUGCAUUUUAACAAACUCCCCAAGGGGUUUUGAUGUAGGCCAAGUCUGAGACAGCCUUCUUCAGUCCCUUCCCUUGUAUAUCUUCUCCCCUGAUGGGGCCUCCCAGGCCCUCCCUCUUGAGACCUUACCCUGUGGCCCAGCAGGCUGGGAGUAGGCAUCUCUCCCCAUCCCCAGCCUCCAUCUGACAGCUGCGGCCUUCACCUAAUGGCCCCAUUUCAUGCUUUCCUGCUCGGGUGAUUCUGACCAGACAGAGGAGUUCACUCUGUCCUGGGAGCCCUGGCACCUGGAUCCAUUUAUCAUCCUCAAGUCUUCCAGCCGGCUGCUCUCCCCGGGGACCGCAGCUCCCAGCCAUGCGGGAGGUGGGGCAGCUGUGAGUCCCCCAGGAUUUGGCUCUCCCUGACCCCGUUCUCACCUCCAUUCCUCCCCAGCCACGGCAGCCCUGCCUCCUAGAGUGGGGGAAAUAAUCCUGGAGGCGGAGGGGGCUGCUGGGCUGUGGAAGGAAGCACUGGACUAGGGGUCCAGGGACUUGGAUUCUUCCUCCACCAAAUGCCUGUGCGAUCUUGGAUGACUGGCUUGAUCUCUCUGGGCCUCCAGGAGUCUUGGGUGGGACGGGGAGUGUGAAAGGGGUUGGGCUGCUUUCCCUCUUUUUCCUUUUUUUUUUUUUUUAACUUCUCUGACUCUAGAAGGGACAGCAGAGCCAGGUGAUAAGGGGCCACAUCAGAGGGAGAAUCUGCCGAGGGAAUCUUGGUCUCUCAGCUACUGGAGCAUCUCCCAGGGAAAAUGGAAAUGCAACCCAAGGGCAGCCUUGGAAAAAUCAGUACAUGCUGGGCAGCUUCUGGGCUGUGGGAAGGGCUCUCAUUUAAUCCCAGCCUCAGCUCAAGAGUUCAGUAAUAAAAGCUGUAUUCCAAUAGUUAAGAAGUCUGAUGCUCAGAGAGGUGAAAGAAAGAACCCAGGGUAAAAUGGCUCAUUAACGGGGUAUGCCUGACUCUUUAUGGUCCCAGGCUUGCUGCAAGAGGAGAGGAAGGGUGGGCAGUUCCCAGAGCCAUGUGCAAUGCCCCCACUUCUCUUGCCGGCUUUAGCGUCUCACUGUACACACACACGCUUGCACACGCGUGUGUAUGCACGCUAUUAGAACAAAUGAUUUCAGGCUGGGCGAGGCGGCUCAUGCUUGUAAUCCCAGCACUUUAGGAGGUGGAGGCAGGUGGAUCACCUGAGGUCAGGAAUUCAAGACCAGCCUGGCCAACAUGGUGAAACCCCAUCUCUGCUAAAACUAUAAAAAUUAGCUGGACAUGGUGGCACACGCCUGUAAUCCCAGCUACUUGGGAGGCUGAGGCACCUGGGAGGUAGAGGUUGCAGUGAGCCAAGACCAUACUAUUGCUCUCCAGCCUGGGUGAUAGAGUUUUUGAGACUUUGUCUUAAAAAAAACAAACAAAACAACAACAACAACAACAAAGAGUUUGGCAGUGUUGCAGGGUACAAGACUGAGAUAUAAAAAUCUGUUAUAUUUCUAUAGCAAUGAACAAUCUGAGUGAAGUUAAGAAAAUAAUUCCAUUUAUAAUGACAUCAAAAAGAAUAAGAUACCUAGGAACAAAAGAAGUGCAAAAUGUUUAUGUUGAAAACUACAAAACAAUCUUGAAAGAAAUUAAGGUCUAAAAAAAUGGAAUAAUAGUGUAAAAAACUCAAAAUUGUUAUGAUCCCUGAGCUGAUCUACAGAUUCAACACAAUGCCUCCAAAAAUUCCAGCUCUUUUAUAGCAAUUAAGAAGCUGGUCCUGAAAUUCAUAUGGAUAUGGAAGGAACCCAGAAUAGCCAAAACAAUCCUGAUUAAAGAACGAGGCCUGGUGCAGUGGUUCACGCCUGUAGUCCCAGCUCUUUGGGAGGCCAAGGCAGGUGGAUUGCUUAAGCCCAGGAGUUAGACCAGCCUGGGCAGCAUAGGGAAACCCUGUCUCUACAAAAAUAUAAAAAUUAGCCAGUUGUGGUGGCAUGGGGCUGUAGUCCCAGCUACUCAGGAGGCUGAGGGGGGAGGAUUGAUUGAGCCUGGAGGUCAAGGUUGCAAUGAGCCAUGUUCACACACCCCCAAAAAAAAGCAAGUUGGAAGACCCAUACUGCCUGAUUUCAAAACUUACUACAAAGCUAUGAUAAUCAACACAGUGUGGUCAACAGCAGGUCAAGUGCAGUACUGCCAUGAGGUUAGACAUACAGAUAGAAUUGAGAGUCCAAAAACAAACCCUCAUAUUUAUGGUCAGUUAAUAUUUUUACAAGGGAACUAAGACAAUUGGAUGGGGGCAAGAACAGUCUUUUCAAUAAAUGUUACUAUAUCAAAUGGAUAUCCCCAUACAAAUGAAUGAAUUUGAACCCCUUCCUUACACCAUACCCAGAUUGUAGACCUGAAAUUAACUCAAAAGUGAAUUGUAGCAACACAGUAGAACCUCAUUUCUAGAAGAAAAUUUAAAAUCAGCCAGAUGUAAUGACAUAUGGCUGUAGUUCUAGCUACUUUGGAAGCUGAAGCUGGAGGAUUGCUUGAGCUCAGGAGGCCAAGGCUGCAGUGAGCCUGGGUGACAGAGUGAGACCCUGUCUCAAAAAAUAAGUGGAUUGUAGCCUUGAAUGCGUGAGCUAAAACUAUACAACUCCCAUAAGAAAACAUAGGAGCAAAUCUUGGUGCCCUUGGGUUUAUUGAUGGUUUCUUGGAUAUAGCACCAAAAAUAUGGCAACAAAAGAAAUAGUUAAAUUGGACGUCAUCAAAAUUGAAAGCUUUUGCUUCAGAGGACACCAUUAAAAAAUAAAAAUACGACCAUGUGCAAUGGCUCAUGCCUGUAAUUCCAGCACUUUGGCAGGCUGAGGAGGGCAGAUCAGCUGAGGUCAGGAGUUUGAGACUAGCCUAGCCAGCAUGGUGAAACUCUGCACUAAAAAUACAAAAGUUAGUGGGGUGUGGUGGUGAGCACCUGUAAUCCCAGCUACUUGGGAGGCUGAGGCAGGAGAAUCGCUUCAACCCAGGAGGCGGAGGUUGCAGUGAGCCAUGAUUGCCCCCCUGCACUCCAGCCUGGAUGAUGAGCAAAACUCCAUCUCAAACACACACACAUGAAAAUAUGACCUAGAAUGGGAAAAAAUAUUUGCAAAUCAUAUAUUCAAUAAGGAACUGGUGUCCAGAAUAUAUAAAAAUUCUUACAACUCAGUAAUAAAAAGACGAAUAUCUUAAAAUAGCCAAAGGAUUUCAAUAGGUAUUUUUCUAUGGAAGACACUCAAAUGACACUCUACAUGACCACAUGUAGAGAUGUGCAGCAGCGUUAGUCAUCAGGGAAAUGCAAAUCAGAACUACAGUGAAAUGCCAUUUCACCUCUACUACGAUUCCUGUGAACAAGAAGACAUAAUAUCAAGUGUUGUCUGGGAUGUGGAGAAAUUAAAACCCUCAUACGUUGCUGAUGGGAACAUAAAUUGGUGCCGGCACCUUAAAAUGUGAAACAUAGUUAUGACCCAGCAAUCCCAUACUUAAAUAUCUACCCGAGAGAAACAUAUCCACACAUGCCCACACAAAAACUUACACGUGGAUGUUUAUAGCAGCAGCAUUCAUAAUAUCUCACAAGUAGGACAUAUUAGCUACAUUUAGUUAUAAAAUAGCUAAAAUGGUCCAAAUGUUCAUAAAUUGAUGAAGGGAUAAAUAUAUGUUUUAGGCAAGGUGCAGUAGCUCAUACCUGUAUUGCCAACAUUUCAGGAGGCUGAAGUGGGAGGAUUGCUUGAGGCCAGGAACUUAAGACCAGCUUGGGCAAUAUAGGGAGACCCCAUAUCUACAAAAAAAUUAAAAAAUUAGCCUGGCAUGAUGGCAUGCAACUGUAGUCCCAGCUACUCAGGAAGCUGAGGUGGGGAAUCACUUGGGCCCUGGAGGUGGAGGCUGUGGUAAGCCAUGGUUGCACCACUGCACACCAGUCUCACUCUGCCUUAAAAAAAAAAAAAGUGUUCUACCUACAUAGUGGAAUAUUACAUGGCAAUAAAAAGGGAAUGAGAUACUGAUACAUGCUACAACAUGGAUGAACCUCAAAAACAUCAUGAAAGAAGCCAGUCACAAAGACAACAUAUUUCAUAAUUCCAAUGAUAUGAAAUGUUCAGGAUGGACAAAUCUAUAGAGACAGAAAGUAGAUUAUUGGCUGCUGGAGCUGGGAAGAGGAUGAGAAUAGAAGUGACUGCUAAUGGGACCUGGUUUCUUUUUGAGGUGGUGAAAAUGUUCUAAAUGAGACUGCUAAUUGUUGUACAAACUCUGUGAGUACAAUAAAAAGCACUGAACUGUACAGUUUAAUGGAUGACUUAAAAGGUAUAUGAAUUACAUCUCAAUGAAGCUGCUUUUAAAAAAGUCACAGAGUCCUAGACACUUUGGUGGAAGUGAGGGGAGAUGGACCUGGCGAAGGCCUGGACACUUCUCUUGAUCUCCUGGUGUGGCUCCUUGUAGUUCUCACCAAACUCGAUCCAUCUCUCUGCCCCCAGAGGGGAAGUCCAGUGGACCUUGUUUUUUCAUUUCAAAAUAAGUUUUGGGGUCAACACUAUUUCAACAUGUCAUGUAGUAAGAGUUUAAUAAAUGCUUGGUGAAUGAACAUGCAUUGCAUCAAUGUACAGGUCACCAGAAGUACUUAAGGUUAGAGCAGUCUUCAGGGCUGGGGAGGUGAUCUCAGCAGGUUUUUAAAGGAAGGGACAGAACUGAGCUCCUAAAACAUUCCUUCAGAAGAAGACUGAGUCCAGAGGAGAGAUGACUCAUCCCUAACAUACAGUGAGAAAGUCUCACGUUUUUCUUUAAAUUCUUGUGCUAUAUGCAUCCUACUCUAUAUUUUCAGCUUGUUUUAAUUUAAAAAUACUGUAAACUGCCAUUCAGUAAAAUGGAUGCUUCAGGGAGUUGUGCUGUGUAUCCCUGCAUCCUAGAAUGUCUGUGGGUGUACCCUGCUAUGCUCCCUCAGAGGAGCUCAGUCAACAAAUACCUCCUGAGUGCCCACUGUGUGCUUGGCAUGAGGGCUGCUGUUGCCAACACAGGAUCUGCCCUCAUGGGACUUCAGUUGAGAAAUGAGUGCAUAGCCCCAAGGAGCAGAAAGAGCUUGGCGGAGAGGACAGUUGCAGUGGGCAGAGUUUGGAAGCUCGUAAGAACGUUACCUUAAAUGAAGAACAACAUGUAUGCCAUGUUUAACUAGCAAAAAGUUGACAACUGCCUAAAUGUCUAAUAGUGAAAUGGCUAAACAAAUUUUGGUAUUACCAUGUAGUAACUAUUUAAUAAUAAAGAAAAAAUUUAACAAAGGAAAAGGCUUAUGAUGAAAUUUUAUGUAAAAUAAUCUUCAAAAAAAAACCUAUAUAUAGUGUGGUCUCAGCAUGUAAAACAUACUCAGAAAAAUACCAGCAUAGACUGCCCAAAAGGCUAGUUGUCUCUGGAUGAUAGAAUUGAGAGGGAUUUCUCUCUCUCCCCCACCAAACUUUCGACAAUAAGUCUGGGUCGUGUUAUUAAUAAACAUGGCGUCUUUGAUGCAGGAAGGCUAGUGUGCAGGUGCAUGUGGGGCGGGGCUAGAGAUGGACCUGGGGCAGGGGUUAUGGAGUAGACCAGGGGAGGAAGGCUAGGGAUGGAGAUGCUGGUGCUGUCUUCCCAGAGGAGAGGUUAAAACAAACCCCGAGUGAGCACUGAGGGAGCCAGUGAAGAAAGCGCUGAGGGCUGAGGAAGAGAGUCUUGAAGGGCAGGAGGAGGACUUGGAGUCAGGGAUCAUGAGAGUUCAAGUGUCAUGGGGAUAGGCAGAGAAUCUAGACAGAGCAAUGUCUGAAAAUCCUUGGAAGUCAAGGAGAGAGGUUGAAAGAGGAGCUCUCAGUGUAAAACCUUGUCUCCUUCCUAGAUUUAAAUGAGAGAUACAGGAGAGCGAUUAGGUAUGCAGGCUCUGGAGUUGGGCAGACCAGUUCAAACCUGUUUCAGAACUUACAGCUAAGUGACCUUGGAAAAACUGUCUAGCCUCUCUGAACCUGUUUCCCCAUCUGUUAAAUGGAAACAACAAAGACCAUUAGGUUGUUGUUUGGAUUAGGUGAACAAUGCAUGGAAAGUGCUUUGCAUAGUGCCUGACACAUAAUGUACUAUUUUUUUUAAGAGACACAAUCUUACUUACUUACCCAUAGCUCAUGUAACUGACCUCAAAAUCUUGGACUCAAGUGAUUCCUCUGUCACUUCAGCCUCCACCAUGCCUAAUUAAAAAAAAAAAAGUUUAAAUGUUCUUGCUAUGCCGCCCAGGCUGACUGUGUACUAACUGGAUGAUGUCUAUUAUUAUUGUUUUACUACAGUUGUUCCUAUUGUGCAGAACAUCUUCGAUCUAUAAAGAGUUUCUCCUGGUCCUUUGAAUAGGGCUUUCUGAGGGGAAGAUGACCUCUGGGAUGUUCAUCCUGCCCUCUUCUCCUCUCAUU